GGAGUAAGGAGGUUCCUCGGUUCAGC
rnacentral:piRNA from 1 species